GACCAACAUUAGGAAGCUUAAUGAAAACGACUGGAAGCUGCAUUGGUGAUACUCUUAUCCUUUCAUGACAUGUAAAGGAUAUAAGUCACGUGGUCUCCUGCAAUACGUUCACAAGACUGACCAAGCAUUUUAGUUAAUAUCAACCAUGACAUUCUGUACUUCAUGUCGCUGAUUUGCAUCAGUCUCAUUGACUACCUUAAGAAUGUCAUCACUAAGUGACUUCUGAUCCUCUGUAAAAUCAUCGGCAUGUGUUCCUACCAGGACAACAGGAGAACCAGAUCUACCUCCACAAUCCCACAUCUCAACAGUGAGUGAGGACAUCUUUCCAUUAGCAUCUGCACCAAGGUUAACAG